GUAGUCCAUUAGUAAUCAGAUUCCAGUUUGGACAGGGUGGCUGGAUUGUAUAUCUCGUUAGUAAUGUACAUGCUCUUCAGGUUCUAGGGCUCCUGUUAGGGGAGGGAGAAAUGUUGAAUCAAGAGGGAAAACAACUACUAUGAUUUAUAAACAUAUUUUAAUGUAAAAAUUUGCAUUCAAAAGGAGUGGCCCUGUUUUCUGUGUUAAAACCCCAUUUGGUGCUAUUGAGUUUGUUCUUUAUUCUUUUAUCCCAGUGAAAAUUGUUGAUCUUGCUGUAGGGAAAAAUUAAACUCUUUGAAUCUCCAAACAAGGAAGUUUCAGCAUUCCCUUAUGGAUCAGAGGAACCUUAGAGGCCUGAAAUUGUUGCUUCCAGUUUAGCUGCCCCUCAAAUUCAAGUGAAUAUUUUCCCUUCUCCCUUUACCCUUCUCCAGAAAUAAAGCAGGUGACAGGGUUUUCAGAAUCUUAAAAAAAA
rnacentral:lncRNA from 10 species